AACGAACGCUGGCGGCAUGCCUAACACAUGCAAGUCGAACGAGACCUUCGGGUCUAGUGGCGCACGGGUGCGUAACGCGUGGGAACCUGCCCUUAGGUUCGGAAUAACUCCCCGAAAGGGGUGCUAAUACCGGAUAAUGUCUUCGGACCAAAGAUUUAUCGCCCUUGGAUGGGCCCGCGUUGGAUUAGCUAGUUGGUAGGGUAAAAGCCUACCAAGGCGACGAUCCAUAGCUGGUCUGAGAGGAUGAUCAGCCACACUGGGACUGAGACACGGCCCAGACUCCUACGGGAGGCAGCAGUGGGGAAUAUUAGACAAUGGGCGAAAGCCUGAUCCAGCAAUGCCGCGUGAGUGAUGAAGGCCUUAGGGUUGUAAAGCUCUUUUACCCGGGAUGAUAAUGACAGUACCGGGAGAAUAAGCUCCGGCUAACUCCGUG
rnacentral:rRNA from 1 species